rnacentral:rRNA from 1 species
CCUACGGGUGGCAGCAGUGGGGGAUAUUGCACAAUGGGGGAAACCCUGAUGCAGCGACGCCGCGUGUGGGAAGACGGUCCUCCGGAUUGUAAACCACUGUCCCCAGGGACGAAGAUGACGGUACCUGGGGAGGAAGCUCCGGCUAACUACGUGCCAGCAGCCGCGGUAAUACGUAGGGAGCAAGCGUUGUCCGGAAUUACUGGGUGUAAAGGGAGCGUAGGCGGGAGGGCAAGUUGGGUGUAAAAUCUACCGGCUCAACUGGUAGUCGCACUCGAAACUGCUAUUCUUGAGUGAAGUAGAGGCAGGCGGAAUGCCUGGUGUAGCGGUGAAAUGCGUAGAUAUUAGGAGGAACACCAGUGGCGAAGGCGGCCUGCUGGGCUUUAACUGACGCUGAGGCUCGAAAGUGUGGGGAGCAAACAGGAUUAGAUACCCGAGUAGUC